rnacentral:rRNA from 1 species
AUGUCGCGUUGCGCCGCGAAGCUCUUUAGCCGGUAUGAACCGCUGACGUCCCGCGGUGGACUCGUCGUCCUCCGCCGCAAACACAUCAAUGCACGACCAAAAUCCAAGCGCUGCUCUGACAUGUGCGUGUAUGAUCCUAUGACCGGUCACCACACCUUCCUUUCAAGACCGACAUGUAUCAAGAGUACCAAGAACAACUUGCAUGUAUACGUCCUGCUCACGGCGGCGGACGGCAUUGACUGCUCCUUCAUGCUACUCUUUGCCGAUCUCUAUGGAUGGAGCAUCAAAGUACAGACCGCCACAUCCUCCUCUUGUACCUGGGGGCCCGUCACGGCUCAUGCAAGAAACCUUGACUUUCCAUGGAUGUUUGUCUGGGCGGACACUGCCCCCGCCGUUGUCCGCGGUGGCAUCAUCCACUGGCUAGUGUUCAACGGUAAGCAAAUCCUCACCUACGAUGUGCGCAUGAGGACACCUGGAAUGGUGAAGCCCCCACUUACCAAAUGCGAAGCAAACAAGCUCUACUUGGCCACGUCUCCAGAUAGGAACCUACUCAAACUGCUCGCCAUAGAGGGGUUCAAGAUAUCAGUGUGGUUACAACUCCAUACAGUCCCAGCAGGUGGUGGUGGUGGUGGUGAUUGGUCACUAGAAAAUAUAAUCGACAUAGGGGAGAACCUACGGUCAGUCUGCCCAAAUAUUCCUCUUGAGUGUGGCACCGAUGUAGUCAUUAAGUUCGAUGGCUCCGGGAAGAGAAGCGGGGGCGUGGUAUUGCUACGGGUAUGUGAGAAAUGUCGCUAUAGUGCGCUCGUAGUUUUUGAUUUGGAGACGAAGGAGAUCCAUACGCAAAAGGAGCGCUCCUCGAUGUUGGAGAUCGACCUACCAUAUUGCUUACAAACCAUGAAAGUGUUCUCCUAG